rnacentral:lncRNA from 1 species
UGGUGAUGGAGAUAUUUUGGGGGAUGGAAGGCACCGGGAGAGCUUCUAUGAGAGGGGAAAUCUAUUUGCCCACGUGCUGUGCAUCUCGGCUUAGACAGUUCAGUUUGCGUAUGGCUCUGUUGAAUUACUUUACAACCAGCCCCGUACAAUAGCAGGGGCAGUAUGGACGUAGGCACAGGGCCUCCAAAAAUUUAGAGCCCCCAAAUUUUUUGUUUUUCAUAAGGAAAAUUUAAGUAUAUACUCAGUUAAUAAGCCCAGGCGCCAGCAGGAAAACAGAAAGAAAGAAAAAAGCCCAGUAGCGUGCACGUGAUGAUCUAGUUUCGAUCGGUGCUCUCCGCGGAUCGCAUCUGUUUCCUGCCGAUAGCAUCGGUUGCCCUGCCUUCAGCUGCAACUUCCCACGCUACACUCUCGUCUUCGCGGCAUGUUCUUUCACUUUUCCCCUGUUGAUGACUCCUGGCCUGAAUCGCCUCCAAGGUUCAAGAUUUUAACAGAUUUAUACUUCAAGGGUUCAUUUUUUUUUCGAUAAAGGGAGACUUCAAGGGUUCAUGGUUUGAUCUUAUUUCCUUUCCUUUUUAUGUUGAUAAGCCUA